GCUUAGGGAGGCAGACUGCCUCAGUGUGGCUGAAACGGAGCUGCUUUCCAAUCACACAUGCCGACCAGGCUUAUCUGAAAGGUAAUGACAGCAGUAAUGGUGGCGGAUAUGCUCAUUGGCCAAUCCUAGAUGACAGAAUGGCGUGUGGCCUCAGGGGUAGCAUUUGACCUCCUUCUGAUUGGAGCAUUAGAAGCUUAAAGGGGCAUGACCAAACUAUCAAGAAAUGUGAAGCACAUCUAGAGGCCUUGUCUGGGCCCAAGGAAGAAACAGACUAGUCUGACCAGCAACCCAUUUCUAUAAAGGACAAGACUUGGAGAUAAUGCAUUUUCCUUGUUCACAACAUGCAGUUGUGGUGCUUUAUCAUGGUCGCCUCAGGAAAUAUAGCACUCACAGACCAGAAGGAGAGACAAAUCUAGGAGCAGAG